rnacentral:rRNA from 1 species
CCUGUAAGGGGAGUGAAAUAGAACCUGAAACCGUGUACGUACAAGCAGUGGGAGCACCUUCGUGGUGUGACUGCGUACCUUUUGUAUAAUGGGUCAGCGACUUACUGUUCGUGGCAAGCUUAACCGUAUAGGGGAGGCGAAGGGAAACCGAGUCUGAUAAGGGCGCAUAGUCGCGGGCAGUAGACCCGAAACCGGGUGAUCUAGUCAUGGCCAGGGUGAAGGUGCCGUAACAGGUACUGGAGGCCCGAACCCACGUCUGUUGCAAAAGACGGGGAUGAGCUGUGAUUAGGAGUGAAAAGCUAAUCGAACCCGGAGAUAGCUGGUUCUCCUCGAAAGCUAUUUAGGUAGCGCCUCGGACGAAUACUACUGGGGGUAGAGCACUGUUAUGGCUAGGGGGUCAUCGCGACUUACCAAACCAUUGCAAACUCCGAAUACCAGUACGUACUAUCCGGGAGACACACGGCGGGUGCUAACGUCCGUCGUGAAAAGGGAAACAACCCAGACCCACAGCUAAGGUCCCAAAUUCACUGCUAAGUGGAAAACGAUGUGGAAAGGCAUAGACAGCCAGGAGGUUGGCUUAGAAGCAGCCACCCUUUAAAGAAAGCGUAAUAGCUCACUGAUCGAGUCGUCCUGCGCGGAAGAUGUAACGGGGCUAAGCCAGUCACCGAAGCUGCGGAUAUGUCUUUGACAUAUGGUAGGAGAGCGUUCUGUAAGCCUGCGAAGGUGUCUUGUAAAGGAUGCUGGAGGUAUCAGAAGUGCGAAUGCUGACAUGAGUAACGAUAAUGCGGGUGAAAAGCCCGCACGCCGAAAGCCCAAGGUUUCCUUGCGCAACGUUAAUCGACGCAGGGUUAGUCGGUCCCUAAGGCGAGGGCGAAAGCCGUAGUCGAUGGGAAGCAGGUUAAUAUUCCUGCACCUCGCGUGAGUGCGAUGGAGGGACGGAGAAGGUUAGGUGUACCGGGCGUUGGUUGUCCCGGGGAAAGGCGGUAGGUUUGGAUCUUUGGCAAAUCCGGGAUCCUUUAAGACCGAGCACCGAGACGAGCCUUUAUGGCGAAGUCACUGAUACCACGCUUCCAGGAAAAGCUCCUAAGCUUCAGCUCACGAAGACCGUACCGUAAACCGACACAGGUGGGUAGGAUGAGAAUACUCAGGCGCUUGAGAGAACUCGGGUGAAGGAACUAGGCAACAUGGCACCGUAACUUCGGGAGAAGGUGCGCCGGUGAGGGUGAAGGACUUGCUCCGUAAGCUCAUGCCGGUCGAAGAUACCAGGCCGCUGCGACUGUUUAUUAAAAACACAGCACUCUGCAAACACGAAAGUGGACGUAUACGGUGUGACGCCUGCCCGGUGCCGGAAGGUUAAU